rnacentral:tRNA from 1 species
GCCUCGGUGGCGUAGUGGUGGUCAAAACGCUCGCCUGGUAAACAGGAGGGCGUGGGUUCGAUCCCAGCCGAGGUA